CUCCUAGACGUUUUGGGCUGCACGCGCACUACACUGAUGCAGCAAACGAGUUGCACCCGACUUCGGGUCCUGGCCAGCAAUGGCUGGGAAAUCGUUGCAAACUCCAUUCGUGACUGGGAUAGAUGCCUGCAAGUAUCUGCCUUGAACGAGGAAUGCCCAGUACAGGCGCUUCAUCAGAGCGCCCGGAAUGCGUCCCUGUCAUUUGUACACACCGCCCGUCGUUGCUACCGAUUGGUGACCGAAUAGAGGGCUUGGGAUGGCGCACCUCCGCCUCGGCGUUGGUCGCGCCAAAACUCGUUCGAUAUUCUGCCACUAGAGGAAGCAAAAGUCGUAACA
rnacentral:rRNA from 1 species